CACUUGAUGGGAGAGACCGCUUCAGCCGGCUUUUCACAGAUUUUACCUUUUGGGUCGACAGAUUCCACAAGGUCAUUUCCAACACGGAGUCGCUGAGACAGGCAUUAACUUUCUCCAUCAAAUUUUGUGACACAGUUGCCUCUCCACCGCUGACCUUGAAAUCACUUGGAAUCUCCAUUUUCAGUACCAGUAGAAGACUUGACCUACCAGCCCAAGCCUUGAAGCCAGCCAUUUCCCAUUUUGGUAUCAUACCCUAUGGUCCUGACUUUUUCAAAAAAUGGUGUGUAAGAUGACAUUCUUCAAAAUGAGGGCAGGUG